rnacentral:rRNA from 1 species
AGUGAACGCUGGCGGUAGACCUAACACAUGCAAGUCGAACGGCAGCACAGUAAGAGCUUGCUCUUACGGGUGGCGAGUGGCGGACGGGUGAGGAAUACAUCGGAAUCUACUUUUUCGUGGGGGAUAACGUAGGGAAACUUACGCUAAUACCGCAUACGACCUACGGGUGAAAGCAGGGGAUCUUCGGACCUUGCGCGAUUGAAUGAGCCGAUGUCGGAUUAGCUAGUUGGCGGGGUAAAGGCCCACCAAGGCGACGAUCCGUAGCUGGUCUGAGAGGAUGAUCAGCCACACUGGAACUGAGACACGGUCCAGACUCCUACGGGGGGCAGCAGUGGGGAAUAUUGGACAAUGGGCGAAAGCCUGAUCCAGCCAUACCGCGUGGGUGAAGAAGGCCUUCGGGUUGUAAAGCCCUUUUGUUGGGAAAGAAAAGCAGCAGGUUAAUACCCCGCUGUUCUGACGGUACCCAAAGAAUAAGCACCGGCUAACUUCGUG